AUUGAACGCUGGCGGCAGGCUUAACACAUGCAAGUCGAGCGGGGUGAUGGUGCUUGCACUAUCACUUAGCGGCGGACGGGUGAGUAAUGCUUAGGAAUCUGCCUAUUAGUGGGGGACAACAUCUCGAAAGGGAUGCUAAUACCGCAUACGUCCUACGGGAGAAAGCAGGGGAUCACUUGUGACCUUGCGCUAAUAGAUGAGCCUAAGUCGGAUUAGCUAGUUGGUGGGGUAAAGGCCUACCAAGGCGACGAUCUGUAGCGGGUCUGAGAGGAUGAUCCGCCACACUGAGACUGAGACACGGCCCAGACGCCUACGGGGGGCAGCAGUGGGGAAUAUUGGACAAUGGGGGGGACCCUGAUCCAGCCAUGCCGCGUGUGCGAAGAAGGCCUUAUGGUUGUAAAGCACUUUAAGCGAGGAGGAGGCUCUUUUGGUUAAUACCCAAGAUGAGUGGACGUUACUCGCAGAAUAAGCACCGGCUAACUCUGUGCCAGCCGCCGCCGUAA
rnacentral:rRNA from 1 species